rnacentral:SRP_RNA from 2 species
GCCAGGCGUGGUGGCGCAUGCCUGUAAUCCCAGCUACUGGGGAGGCUGAGGCAGGAGAAUCACUUGAACCCGGGAGGUGGAGGUUGCAGUGAGCUAUGGCGCCAUUGCACUCCAGCCUGGGUGACAGAGCGAGACUCUGUCUCAA